UACCCUGAUCAAAGUUUUGCUGAAUUAAAACAUAAUGUAGUGCUAACUUCUGAAACUAGGAAUGGUCAAUCCUAUCUUGACUCAUACACCGAAUUAACAAGUACUUGACUAUGUCCAAAAAUCUUUGAUCACUGAAUUAAAAAUUCAGAUAGUCUAACAUCAAAGCACAGUGAGUUGCUUACAAGUCACCAUGGUGAUC
rnacentral:lncRNA from 1 species